GGACGAGGGGCCCUUCUCGGGUUACCGAAUUCAGACAAACUCCGAAUGCCAAUCAAUUUAACUUGGGAGUCAGAACGCGGGUGAUAAGGUCCGUGUUCGAAAGGGAAACAGCCCAGACCACCAGCUAAGGUCCCAAAAUAUAUGUUAAGUGGAAAAGGAUGUGGCGUUGCCCAGACAACUAGUAUGUUGGCUUAGAAGCAGCCAUCAUUUAAAGAGUGCGUAAUAGCUCACUAGUCGAGUGACACUGCGCCGAAAAUGUACCGGGGCUAAACAUAUUACCGAAGCUGUGGAUUGUCCGUAGGACAAUGGUAGGAGAGCGUUCUAAGGGCGUUGAAGCAUGAUCGUAAGGACAUGUGGAGCGCUUAGAAGUGAGAAUGCCGGUGUGAGUAGCGAAAGACGGGUGAGAAUCCCGUCCACCGAUUGACUAAGGUUUCCA
rnacentral:rRNA from 1 species